UUUCUACUCCCUCCGUCCGAAAAUACUUGUCAUCAAAAUGAAUAAAAAAAGAUGUAUCUAGAGUUAAAAUACAUCUAGAUACAUCCCCUUUUAUUCAUUUUGAUGACAAGUAUUUUCGGACGGAGGGAGUACAUA
rnacentral:pre_miRNA from 1 species